ACCCCACACCGACAGCGGCGGGCGAGGCGCGGGGGUGAGGUGGUUGCCGGCGCGGUUGUGCCGCAGCACUGGGCCGCGUGGCUCGCCGGCGCGCGCGCCCGCCGUCCCGCUCGUUGCUGGCCGCGAGCCCGCCCUCAUGCCAGCGGGCGAGCCGGACACCGUCGACCUGCCGGACCUGAGGACCAGCCGCGUCUGGCGCCGUCGUCCGCGUGUCGGGCGACGCGCGGGGUGAGGCCGCGGCCGGUGCGGGCGGCUCCCACGCGUUGUGGGUGCUGCUUCGAGGUGCCCGGCCCCGCGGCGGCUGGCCAGGCGCAGGCGGCCUCCGCUCCUGGUAGCGCGGCGCAGCGGGCCAGGGCAGCAGACCGUCGCGGGCGGCCUCCACGCACCCGCCGGGGUGAGCGGCGAACAGGGCAACCAGUGGCCGGACGCGGUGGCUAGGGCGAGUGGCGCCUAUCUGGAGCCCGGGCCGCCUCAACCCCGCCGCUGAUCCCUGUCCUCCACCCUCUGCUAUUGGCCGUUACGGUAAUUUAACUGGUGCUGACCGUCGUCUCGAUGGCUCCGGCCAUUACUUGGGCCUGCUCGCGGGAAAAGCCACAGGCCCACAGCGGCUUUGGCUUCUUUGGCUUUGGCACAAGGAGAAGCUGCAGGCAGACGGCUGUGGACAUGGCUAAGCCUCGGCCGGCCGCCCCUCUACGCCCUCCUCUCCCUGCAUCACAAUCGCUGCCUUCUCCUCAUGCUUUACUUCCAGAGUUCCAGUCCUCAUGAUGAGUGCUAGGUGUUGCUUGAAGUGAGUGGUGCAUCGCAGGAGCUCAUUGGUGAGAUCUAGAUUGCAGCUGAUGGAUUAUAAGCGCGCCACUUUGCCAAGGUCAUCAUGCCUCCAAGAUGUUCGAUGAAAUACUAGUAAGGUGGGUUUUGUGACUUCUUUCUUGGUCUGAACAAGAGGACCUACAAGAUGGCUGGGGAGGAUAUGGAAGGCAACGUGCUGGGGGAACUACAAGGAGCCCUUCAUUGGCUGGAUGACCGCUGCCGUCAGCUUCGUCAUGAUUGUUGCACUGAUCCCUCUCAGGAAGUCAUCAUCUGACACCAAGAAAGCUUCCUCAGAAAAAUCUGGAACCUCCAAAACCCCUCAUUCCCAAAAAAACAAAUGAAUUUGGUUGCCAAUCAGAUACUACUGCUUCUAAAUGCAAGGCUUUUAUUUUGUGGCCAUGUUGAACUGCCAUCCUACUUAUGAACAGCAACUAUAUUUUGUGGUGAUUAUCAAACUUCGUCCAAUCACCAAUCAUCACCAGAUUUUAUGAUGAUUACUACUACUUCCAAGUGCAAGUAUUUUGUUUUGUGGUCAGCUUGAACUACCAUAUUACUUUUGAACAGCGACUAUAUUUUGUGCUGACCAUUCAUGUUUGUCGAAGCACUAAUCAUGAUCAGACCUUGUGGUACUUUUUCAUUGUACUACUUGCAAGUGCAAGUUUUUUGUUUUGUGGUCACCUUGAACUGCCAUAUUGCUUUUCAACGGCGACUACAUUUUCUGGUGACCAUCCAUAUUUGUCAAACAACUAAUGAUGGUCAGACCUUGUGGUACUUCUCAUUGUAUAUAUAAUCAUCUGUUAUGCAUAAGACUCUAGCUAUGGCAGCAGAAUUAUAGUAAAUCCA